rnacentral:rRNA from 1 species
UACGUAGGGUGCAAGCGUUUGUCCGGAAUUAUUGGGCGUAAAGAGCUUGUAGGCGGUUUGUCGCGUCUGCUGUGAAAUUUCGGGGCUCAACCCCGAACUUGCAGUGGGUACGGGCAGACUAGAGUGUGGUAGGGGAGACUGGAAUUCCUGGUGUAGCGGUGAAAUGCGCAGAUAUCAGGAGGAACACCGAUGGCGAAGGCAGGUCUCUGGGCCAUAACUGACGCUGAGAAACGAAAGCAUGGGGAGCGAACAGG